rnacentral:rRNA from 1 species
GAUGAACGCUGGCGGCGUGCCUAAUACAUGCAAGUCGAGCGAACAGAUGAGGAGCUUGCUCCUCUGACGUUAGCGGCGGACGGGUGAGUAACACGUGGAUAACCUACCUAUAAUACUGGGAUAACUUCGGGAAACCGGAGCUAAUACCGGAUAAUAUAUUGAACCGCAUGGUUCAAUAGUGAAAGACGGUUUUGCUGUCACUUAUAGAUGGAUCCGCGCCGCAUUAGCUAGUUGGUAAGGUAACGGCUUACCAAGGCGACGAUGCGUAGCCGACCUGAGAGGGUGAUGGGCCACACUGGAACUGAGACGCGGUCCAGACUCCUACGGGAGGCAGCAGUAGGGAAUCUUCCGCAAUGGGCGAAAGCCUGACGGAGCAACGCCGCGUGAGUGAUGAAGGUCUUCGGAUCGUAAAACUCUGUUAGUAGGGAAGAACAAAUGUGUAAGUAACUAUGCACGUCUUGACGGUACCUAAUCAGAAAGCCACGGCUAACUACGUG